UACGUAGGGUGCAAGCGUUGUCCGGAAUUAUUGGGCGUAAAGAGCUCGUAGGCGGUCUGUCGUGUCGGCUGUGAAAUCCCGAGGCUCAACCUCGGGUCUGCAGUCGAUACGGGCAAACUAGAGUAUUGCAGGGGAGACUGGAAUUCCUGGUGUAGCGGUGAAAUGCGCAGAUAUCAGGAGGAACACCGGUGGCGAAGGCGGGUCUCUGGGCAAUAACUGACGCUGAGGCACGAAAGCGUGGGGAGCAAACAGG
rnacentral:rRNA from 1 species